rnacentral:tRNA from 1 species
UGGGAGAUAGCUCAGUCGGUAAAGUGCUUGCCUCAUGAGCACAAGGACUGAGUUCAAUCCUCAGUCCUCAG